rnacentral:rRNA from 6 species
AGAGUUUGAUCCUGGCUCAGGACGAACGCUGGCGGCGUGCCUAAUACAUGCAAGUCGAACGAACUCUGGUAUUGAUUGGUGCUUGCAUCAUGAUUUACAUUUGAGUGAGUGGCGAACUGGUGAGUAACACGUGGGAAACCUGCCCAGAAGCGGGGGAUAACACCUGGAAACAGAUGCUAAUACCGCAUAACAACUUGGACCGCAUGGUCCGAGUUUGAAAGAUGGCUUCGGCUAUCACUUUUGGAUGGUCCCGCGGCGUAUUAGCUAGAUGGUGAGGUAACGGCUCACCAUGGCAAUGAUACGUAGCCGACCUGAGAGGGUAAUCGGCCACAUUGGGACUGAGACACGGCCCAAACUCCUACGGGAGGCAGCAGUAGGGAAUCUUCCACAAUGGACGAAAGUCUGAUGGAGCAACGCCGCGUGAGUGAAGAAGGGUUUCGGCUCGUAAAACUCUGUUGUUAAAGAAGAACAUAUCUGAGAGUAACUGUUCAGGUAUUGACGGUAUUUAACCAGAAAGCCACGGCUAACUACGUGCCAGCAGCCGCGGUAAUACGUAGGUGGCAAGCGUUGUCCGGAUUUAUUGGGCGUAAAGCGAGCGCAGGCGGUUUUUUAAGUCUGAUGUGAAAGCCUUCGGCUCAACCGAAGAAGUGCAUCGGAAACUGGGAAACUUGAGUGCAGAAGAGGACAGUGGAACUCCAUGUGUAGCGGUGAAAUGCGUAGAUAUAUGGAAGAACACCAGUGGCGAAGGCGGCUGUCUGGUCUGUAACUGACGCUGAGGCUCGAAAGUAUGGGUAGCAAACAGGAUUAGAUACCCUGGUAGUCCAUACCGUAAACGAUGAAUGCUAAGUGUUGGAGGGUUUCCGCCCUUCAGUGCUGCAGCUAACGCAUUAAGCAUUCCGCCUGGGGAGUACGGCCGCAAGGCUGAAACUCAAAGGAAUUGACGGGGGCCCGCACAAGCGGUGGAGCAUGUGGUUUAAUUCGAAGCUACGCGAAGAACCUUACCAGGUCUUGACAUACUAUGCAAAUCUAAGAGAUUAGACGUUCCCUUCGGGGACAUGGAUACAGGUGGUGCAUGGUUGUCGUCAGCUCGUGUCGUGAGAUGUUGGGUUAAGUCCCGCAACGAGCGCAACCCUUAUUAUCAGUUGCCAGCAUUAAGUUGGGCACUCUGGUGAGACUGCCGGUGACAAACCGGAGGAAGGUGGGGAUGACGUCAAAUCAUCAUGCCCCUUAUGACCUGGGCUACACACGUGCUACAAUGGAUGGUACAACGAGUUGCGAACUCGCGAGAGUAAGCUAAUCUCUUAAAGCCAUUCUCAGUUCGGAUUGUAGGCUGCAACUCGCCUACAUGAAGUCGGAAUCGCUAGUAAUCGCGGAUCAGCAUGCCGCGGUGAAUACGUUCCCGGGCCUUGUACACACCGCCCGUCACACCAUGAGAGUUUGUAACACCCAAAGUCGGUGGGGUAACCUUUUAGGAACCAGCCGCCUAAGGUGGGACAGAUGAUUAGGGUGAAGUCGUAACAAGGUAGCCGUAGGAGAACCUGCGGCUGGAUCACCU